AACAUCGCGCACCUGCGGGAACCUGCGGAAGGAUCAUUACCGAGUUUACAACUCCCAAACCCCUGUGAACAUACCACUUGUUGCCUCGGCGGAUCAGCCCGCUCCCGGUAAAACGGGACGGCCCGCCAGAGGACCCCUAAACUCUGUUUCUAUAUGUAACUUCUGAGUAAAACCAUAAAUAAAUCAAAACUUUUAACAACGGAUCU
rnacentral:misc_RNA from 1 species